rnacentral:lncRNA from 1 species
AAGAUCGACCCCCUAACUACAUUAUGCAGGCUCCGUUCGUCAAGUCUCCGCAAUCUGUACAAAGGCUUCAUAAAUUAGGGCCCAACUCGGCUCUUCUACGUAAACUCCGACAUCUAGCUGAGAAAGUGGUCCCGACCACGAGUGUAUCAGCCAAACAUGGAUACCAAGGCAAUUUUUGGAAAUCCCAGCCUUGCUCACCGAAAUCUCGGCAGAAUCCGAGAACGAUAACUACGAAAACCUUCGGCAAUAACUUUUAUUAGCCCGCGCUCCCUACGAGGGGUUCGGAGUUGAGUUCGGAAAUCCGGCUAAACUCCCCGAAUAGCAGCACGCACAGACCUAGUCCGGUCUUACUUGAAGGGCCAAGGCCCGACCUCGAGCCCUUGAGAUUUUCCUGAAGGCUAAACGUGAUGACUUUCACGACACUCAGAUCCGAGCUAUAGGACUUAGAGAAAUUUUCUAAAAAACCUAAGACUCGGAGCUCCUUUUGGUCGGAAUGACUG